rnacentral:rRNA from 1 species
UGCAGCGACGCCGCGUGAGUGAAGAAGGGCCUUUCGGGUUGUAAAACUNNCUUUUGAGUGGGGAAGAGCGAGGACGGUACCCCUGUGAAUAAGCGUCGGCUAACUACGUGCCAGCAGCCGCGUGUAAGACGUAGGACGCGAGCGUUAUCCGGAUUUACUGGGCGUAAAGCGUCUGUAGCCGGAUGCGUAAACUGGGGCGUGAAAGCUCCGGGCUUAACCCCGGAGAGGCCGUUCAAUACUUGCAUAACUUGGAAGGGUGUCCAGAGGGGAAGCGUGAAUUCCCUGGCGUAAGCCGGUACAAAUGCGCAGAGAUCGGGAAGGAAACACCAGUGGCGGAGGCGGUUCCCUGGGGCACACCUGACGCUGAGAGACGAAAGCUUAGGGGAGCGAACAGGAUUAGAGACCCUGGUAGUCCUAGCCCUAAACGAUGAAUGCUAGGUGUGGGAUCGAAUGGUUCCGUGCCGGAGCGAACGCGAUAAGCAUUCCGCCUGGGGAGUACGGCCGCAAGGUUAAAACUCAAACGAAUUGACGGGGCCCCGCACAAGCAGCGGAGCGUGUGGUUUAAUUCGAUGCUACACGAAGAACCUUACCUGGGUUUGACAUGUAGGUGGUAGUGAAUCGAAAGGUGAACGACCCUUCGGGGAGCCUACACAGGUGCUGCAUGGCUGUCGUCAGCUCGUGCCGUGAGGUGUCGGGUUAAGUCCCGUAACGAGCGCAACCCUUGCUCCUAGCUACAAGUGUCUAGGGGGACUGCCGGCGGAAAGCCGGAGGAAGGUGGGGAUGACGUCAAGUCAGCAUGGCCCUUAUAUCCAGGGCUACACACACGCUACAAUGGUCGGUACAAAGGGCAGCGAAACCGCGAGGCGGAGCGAAUCCGAGAAAAGCCGAUCGUAGUUCGGAUAGCAGGCUGCAACCCGCCUGCUUGAAGCUGGAGUUGCUAGUAACCGCGCGUCAGCCAUAGCGCGGUGAAUACGUUCCCGGGGCUGUACACACCGCCCGUCACGUCAU